GAACACUGGUACAGAGUUCCAUCCUCACACAGAUGACCACCUCUGAGUCAAAAAGGUGAAGGCCCUCUGUCCUGGAUUCUUCUCCAGCUCCAAGCUUCUCUGAUCUUGUGGAUGUGUUACCUGAACCUGCCCAACAUCCAAGAGGCUAAUGUCCAGAGCAGUUUUGGGGUUGCCAGGCUUGAUUCAACAUACAGUUUGGGGACCAAGGUUGGAAGAAAAGUUCUGCCAUUUUCAACGCUCAACUUUCAAGGUCAUUCCAUGUGCCAAUAUUCAGCAGCAGCAUAAGAAAUUAUAUGGGAGGUUUCUCCUGGCCAGAUCUAGAAGUGGUCCACAUCUCAUUGCAAGAGAAGUUGGAAAUUGUAUUCCCAUUGUGUGCCAAGUAAAAAAGAGAAAAUGGAUUCGUGAUUUGCUGACGAUUUCUGACAUCUAAAGGAAGGAUCAAAUUACUGCAGGUUCACCAAUGCCAUGUGCGAGUUCUAGCCCAAGGAGAAGGAGAGGAAGUGGAGGAUCUGGUUCUGAUCCAACACCACUCCCCGACCCCAUAAAUGGUGAACCUCUGGGGUGCCCUUACCAGCCCAUCUCUCAGUCUGGCCUUCAUCUUAUGAUUUCCAUGGAGUGAGGGAUCCAAGGCUUGAGCGUCACCAGCUCCAUGGUGCUCUGGAGACUCAAAGAGGCAAUGGCCACUCCUGCCCUCUGGGGAGCCCAGUCUCAGAGAGGCAGCAACAUCCACCAGAGUGAAAAGAUAAUUAUUAUAAGCAAAGGUGAGCUAUGAUAAUAAAGCAUGACCAUCAGUGGAGCUCGAAACUGACUCUGUAGUAGUUCCCCAAGAACAAUCCCAAAGCUGGUUUGAGUAGUCAUGGUGUCUUCAUGGACCAAGCGUGGUGCUGGACCCUUGAUGCACAUUAUCUCCGAUUGCCGCAAUUUAGGACAGAGGACAACAAAGAAGACCAUCCGUACGUGUGCACAGUCGUCCUCAAAAUGACUCUGGGAAGGAAAAUGCCCACCUUCGUGUAGUCUGCUUGGGAAGGUUGAAAAUCAUUCUCAUUCCAUGAUCGUCGUGUCUCCUGUGUAUAAUGUGCCAGUGGGAGCAAGCAGUCCAGACCAGAAAUAGCAGAAUCCACAACUGGGAGUGUCUGUGGCCUCUGGGGCUCCCACCCCACACAUGCAUCCAUCCGCGCUGAUCUCUCUCACCCCCACCCAAGGGUGGUGUCAGUGCCAACCUUCCCCUGCACGUGGCCCCCAGAGAGACACGGAGGCCUUGCCUGCUGGCCCAAUGAGGAAAACUUCCCUGUCCUCUUUGUCCAGCCAAAUCAGGAUUGGCAAUCUUCUCAAGAAAUUUUUACUGACGAAACUAAGAAAGGAAACAAAAAAUCGUUUCCCAGAAGACUAAAAUUGAGUAUAUUUGCUAAUCUAUACUUACCUGAACUGAGUACAAGGUAAACUCUCUGACUUUGGUGCUUUACUCUGCCUACUGGGGCUGGAUGUAAAAAUAAAAUGUUCAGUAUUUCU